CUUAAUUUUUCCUUCUUUUGUUAUCACAGUAGUAUCAAGAAGACAGUGGCUUUAUUUGACCUCUCCCCCAAGGGAGUAGUAACUAUAAUGGGUUUAAUUAACUAUGUGGUAUUGACGUAAUUAGUUAUCAUGGUGAUUAUACUUCUUUAAUAAAAGCACUUCAUUUGGGAUGCAUCAGGGUUCCGGCAGCGGCCAAGCCCUUCACCUAUAUUUCAUAACUGUCUAGACACUGGAACCGUGUGCAUAUUUUACUAGCAGCCCUUGAGAGAGGUUAUCUUGCAUGGCUUAAGCGCUGAGCAGCGUCCCCUCUGUGCCUCUCCCUGCCUGGAGAUACAUACUGAAAUCACUGCAGGCAGUUUGACUGCUUCAUGUAGCCCGGGAAGUUUUGCUGUGGGUCUUCUCAGAGCCAAAACCAGAAAGAUGCACUUCUAAAAAAUAACCCAACGGAUCUGAAAGAAGCGUUUCUGCGGAGAUACUAAAAUGGAGACACAGAAAAAGUAUGUGAUCUGUAGCAGCACUCCAGCAACUCAGCAAGGAACGGCAGACUAAAGAUCAAGAAAAGAAAUAACCCAAUUCCUGCGUGAUUCUCCUGUGCUGAGGAUCAGAGCAUUGCAGGACUGAACGAUUCUGAGAAG
rnacentral:lncRNA from 1 species